rnacentral:rRNA from 1 species
GAGUUUGAUCAUGGCUCAGAAUCAACGCUGGCGGCGUGCCUCAGACAUGCAAGUCGAACGAUUAAAGCUCUCUUCGGAGAGUGCAUAGAGUGGCGCACGGGUGAGUAACACGUAAGUAAUCUACCCUCGAGUGGGGAAUAACAACCGGAAACGGUUGCUAAUACCGCAUAAUGCAGCGGCACCGCAAGGUGACAGUUGUUAAAGAUUUAUCGCUUGAGGAGGAGCUUGCGGCAGAUUAGCUAGUUGGUAAGGUAAUGGCUUACCAAGGCUACGAUCUGUAACCGGUCUAAGAGGACGGUCGGUCACACUGACACUGAGUAACGGGUCAGACUCCUACGGGAGGCAGCAGUCGGGAAUUUUGGGCAAUGGGCGAAAGCCUGACCCAGCAACGCCGCGUGAAGGAUGAAGUAUUUCGGUAUGUAAACUUCGAAAGAAUAGGAAGAAUAAAUGACGGUACUAUUUAUAAGGUCCGGCUAACUACGUGCCAGCAGCCGCGGUAAUACGUAGGGACCAAGCGUUGUUCGGAUUUACUGGGCGUAAAGGGCGCGUAGGCGGUGUUGUAAGUCACUUGUGGAAUCUCUGAGCUUAACUCAGAACGGCCAAGUGAUACUGCAGCACUAGAGUGCAGAAGGGGCAAUCGGAAUUCUUGGUGUAGCGG